GACGAACGCUGGCGGCGUGCUUAACACAUGCAAGUCGAACGGAAAGGCCCUGCUUUUGUGGGGUGCUCAAGUGGCGAACGGGUGAGUAACACGUGAGUAACCUGCCCUUGACUUUGGGAUAACUUCAGGAAACUGGGGCUAAUACCGGAUAGGAGCUCCUGCUGCAUGGUGGGGGUUGGAAAGUUUCGGCGGUCGGGGAUGGACUCGCGGCUUAUCAGCUUGUUGGUGGGGUAGUGGCUUACCAAGGCUUUGACGGGUAGCCGGCCUGAGAGGGUGACCGGCCACAUUGGGACUGAGAUACGGCCCAGACUCCUACGGGAGGCAGCAGUGGGGAAUAUUGCACAAUGGGCGGAAGCCUGAUGCAGCAACGCCGCGUGCGGGAUGACGGCCUUCGGGUUGUAAACCGCUUUCGCCUGUGACGAAGCGUGAGUGACGGUAAUGGGUAAAGAAGCACCGGCUAACUACGUG
rnacentral:rRNA from 1 species